rnacentral:rRNA from 1 species
AGAGUUUGAUCCUAGCUCAGGAUGAACGCUGGCGGCGUGGAUAAGGCAUGCAAGUCGAAUGCUCGCAAGAGCAUGGCAGACGAGGUAGUAACGCGUAGAUACGUACCCCGAAGUCGGGCAUAACCCAUCGAAAGGUGGGAUAAUUCCCGAUAAUCCCGCGAGGGCAAAGUUUUUCGCUUCGGGAACGGUCUGCGUAGUAUCAGCUAGUUGGUAGGGUAACGGCCUACCAAGGCGACGACGCUUAGGGGAGCUGAGAGGCUAACCCCCACCGAUGGCACUGCGAUACGGGCCAUACACCUACGGGUGGCUGCAGCCGAGAAUAUUCGACAAUGGGCGAAAGCCUGAUCGAGCGACGCCGCGUGAUGGAUGAAGCCUUUAGGGGUGUAAACAUCUUUUGCCGGGGAAGAAAUUAUUGACACUACCCGGAGAAUAAGGGGUUGCUAACUCUGUGCCAGCAGCAGCGGUGAUACAGAGACCCCGAGCGUUAUCCGGAAUUAUUGGGCGUAAAGGGUGCGCAGGCGGUCUUGUUAGUCUCUUGUCAAAUGUAUCGGCUCAACCGGUACCUCGCGGGAGAUACGGCAAGACUUGAGGAUGUGAGAGGUGUGCGGAACUCAUAGUGUAGGGGUGAAAUCCGUUGAUAUUAUGGGGAACACCAAAUGCGAAGGCAGCACACUGGCACAUUCCUGACGCUCAUGCACGAAAGCGUGGGGAUCGAACGGGAUUAGAUACCCCGGUAGUCCACGCCCUAAACGAUGUUCUCUCGCUUUUCGGAGUAUCGACCCUCUGGGAGGCUAAGCUAACGCGUUAAGAGAACCGCCUGGGGAGUACGGCCGCAAGGCUAAAACUCAAAGGAAUAGACGGGAGCUCGCACAAGCGGUGGAUCAUGUGGUUUAAUUCGUCGGUAAACGAAGAACCUCACCCGGAUUUGAAACCCAAACGAAGACUCGCAGAAACGUGAGUCGUCUCACAAGGACGGUUGGGCAGGUGAUGCAUGGCUGUCGUCAGUUCGUGGUUUGAAUUGUUCCCUUAAGUGGGGUAACGAACGCAACCCUCGUCGCGUGUUGAAUAUGUCACGCGAGACCGCCCAGCUCACAGCGCAUUUAUGAAAGUGCGUUAUGAGCUGGGAGGAAGGUGAGGAUGACGCCAAGUCCGCAUGUCCC